GUGUCGUCUUCUAUUUGCAUUUUCUUACCACAACACCAAAAGGGUUCUGGCUUAGGUACGAUAACUUUAGGUCUUAGACAAAUUAUGCAAAAGUCGUUAACGAACUUCUUACAUUCGUGCAUCGUAUAUUUAUAAGAUAUUUUAACCUCCGUUUGCGGUAGCAGCAGUAAGGACACACCGCGGGAAAUCCCGUAAAUCUGCUGUACCCGCCUUCGUAAUUCCGCGGAUUAAACCCGCAAAUAUACGGCAUCGAUCGCGAGUCCCCCUUACUGCUGCUCAAACGGCCCGAAACGUUUUUAGCAGAAUGUUGGCACGUAGUGUCGUCAAAUACUGGGAGUGACAAACGAACCCAACAUUUAUGGAACAUCAAAAUUCAAAUCCCAAUGUUGUUGGCAGACAUGACUAGCGGUACCAGCUCUGUUGUUUGACCCAACAAAGGUUGGGUUGAAUGUUAGUCUGUUUGUCAGUGAACUUAAAACUAAGAUCCUCGGAUUCGCCCUCCGCCUUUGCAUGACUGACGCCGAUAAUGACUGGAAUUUCAUUGCCUGUGGUUUGCAAUUUAGCAAACUUUUUCAAACCUUUACGGAAUGCAAGCAUUACAGACGUCAUGAAGGCCUGCAAUUUGAAAACACUGAUUGUCUGAUGUUCCAGUUAUUUCAAACAAGCUAUUAAAGCAAGUACGAUGAGCCAAGCGUCUUACCCUUUCACUAAAAGCCAGACCUACUUUACAAAACUACUGACGAUUCAUGCUUGUUCUAAGCCGUAAGCAUUUGUAGUUGAUACAAAUGAAAAGUAUUUUCGUCCUGUGCUCAUAGGUCGAAAUCUGGUUGUCUGACAUUUUAACAAUAAUAAUCUUGAUAGAGUGAAAUGACAACACGAUAGUGGAAUUAGGGUCUAGGAUCGGUUUCAGAAUUCUUCUAGAAAUUAGCUGGAACAAUCACCUUGGACAGUCGAGUCGAGUCAGGUGAAGGGUAAUAAGAUAAGUGAGCCUUGAACUUGGUGACCAACGGAGUGCAAUUUUAAAUCAUAACACAAGAACAAUUGAAUAAAAAUGAAUGAGAAUCGUGAAAAUGAUAGUAUUUCAGUAUUUUCAUCUCGGUUCAGGAUUACUAAUUCUAGUGGAAGGAUCUAGGAGGUAGCAAACACGCAAUGAUGGAUCCAAUAGUGGGAAGCCUAUGGAACCAUGCUGUGCUAUAUGUGGCACUUGACUUAUUUUGUUAGAGCAUUGUGAGAACAAAAUAUAAAACAUCGUGCUUUCAAUAUUAAAGCCCCGUUUACGCUGGCCGGGCUGCAAUUCGUGGCAAUUUUUGGAAAUAUGAAAUCUUUAGUCUCAUCCUUCAAAAGAGACAUUCGUCUAGGAAAAUCUUGGUAUCCUGAAAAAAAACUUUACAAGUAAAUUCUUUACCAUUAUUUAUUAUGGACCAAAUCGCAAAAAAAAAUCGCCGCAAAAAUCGCUAGUGUAAACGGGGCUUUAUUUUCAGUUAUUCAGCACCAUGGAAAUACAAAUUUAAAUAAAAAAGAAAAUUCGCGAA